rnacentral:lncRNA from 1 species
GGGGGGGAGCGAGCGCUCGCGGGCCCCGUGGUGGGUUCGGCUGCGCGGCGGGGCUGAGGCGGCCGCGAAGGUCCGAGCGCAGAAAGUGGACACUGGGUUCCUGAACCUCCUCACUGAAGACAGCCAGGCCUCAAGCACAGGGUAGAGUGGUGCUGCUUCUUGGAAAAACUGAAAAAGCUCUCUGGACGACAGGGGCCCAAAGCUGAUGGCAGACAAUGUCAGCCACUAACAACAUAGCCCAGGCUCGGAAGCUGGUGGAGCAGCUCCGCAUCGAGGCCGGGAUCGAGCGCAUCAAGGUCUCCAAAGCCUCAUCUGAACUCAUGAGCUACUGUGAGCAGCACGCCCGGAAUGACCCCCUGCUCGUGGGAGUCCCUGCCUCCGAGAACCCCUUUAAGGACAAGAAGCCUUGUAUUAUCUUAUAGCUUUGUUUUCUUGCGCUCAACUCCUCCCCGACACCCAGCCUCCAGUCAGGGCGCCAUUCAGUACAGAGUCCAGCAAAACUCUUAAUUCCAAAAGAAAUGCAAAAAGUUGCCACUGCCCAGAUGGGUUAAGAUGGAUCCUCUGAUUUCAGAUGGAUUUUCAGACCCCGCAAUGCAGCCUCCUUAAGGGCCGGGCUUCUGCACCGCUUCCGAUUGGAAAUAACUGAAAUGCCCAAGUGGUGUGCUAACAGUUUUUGAAAACUGAGUUGACCUUUGGGUUGUGGCUCAGAGCCGAGCUGGGCCAGGGUAUGGGAAGGAGGUGGGUGAACUAGCCGCUGGCCUGGGCAACCCGGCCAGGUGGCAAGUCUCACACUGUUGGCCGUUUGUGAUGACUUCUGCCAGGUUGAUGAUGUGAUGCUUUUUUUUGGGGGGGGGGCUCUCAAGCAGAAAUGCAGCCUGGGGAGGCCUACGCAGUGAGUAGGGCUGCCUGGUGCUUCAGGGUGUAACAAGGUGUGAGAUUAUCUGGAAGUAGCUGUGAAGGCCGGGGAGUUCGAGAGACACUCUCAGUGCUCCCUCUGCACUAUCGCCCUACCACGUGGAGCGUCUGAUCUGCGGGAGGAAAUGAGGUGUGUCUCCCAACAUCCUUGGAAAUGUGAGGUCCUAGAGUUGACCGUUGGGGACAGGACAGAGGCUUUUUUACAAUUGCUGUUUCCUCUGUUGUGACAAGGACAGUUAAAGGAUGGGAGGCAGGAGGACAGGCCCAACGCACACCUGCCCUCACCUGCCAGCACUACCAACAGCUGCCGGGACUCCCGCCCUGAGCUCUGGGUCCAGCUGCCUGCAACCUGGGAGGAGGUCAGAAUCCCAGGCCUAGAAGGAGCAUCCUGGGCAGCCGGCAGAAGGCACUUGGGGCCAGGCCCAGAGCCCCGAGCUCCCCUCGUGCCCCUGGGUCUCAGACCUUGCAUGGCUGCACCUCGCAGCCGGCCCACACAGGGUGCAGACCAAGGCCAACUUUCUCCCUGGCAUCCAGCUCUCUCCGGCCGGUCCGGGAGCACCUGGGGCCUGGAGAGUCUGGCUUCUCUGAAGCAGCACUUGGGCGGGGAGGGUCCCCAAAGCCCCCCCACGAUGCUGCCCCCUCUCACUGCACAGGGAGCCUGCACUCUGACAGAGCAGCAGGACAAACGAAGCUCAUUCUAGAAACCCCGGGCAUGCCCAGUUGGGGGCAGGGCAUGGCGGGACUGAAGCCAAGGGGCAGAGGGGGGCAGCUGGCAGAGCGCAUCUGCCAGCGAGGACCCCCCCACCAGCUUUCUGCUGACUGGUAACUGUUUGGUCUGGGUCAGAAGCCUUAAUCCCUUGAGCCCAAGCCGGGGCCAUGCACUCCUGGCCCCCGAGAGCAGGAGGGGUCCUGAUCAGCGUCAGGAGAGCCCCAGGGCCCAGACCUCCCCUCUCUCUCCACCCCCUGCCCUGCCAGCUGUGCCAAGCCCAGCCUCACUGCGUGUCCCCACCCAAGUGACCCGAGCAGCCAGUGGGAAGCAAAGCCCAGGACCCCUGGCUGAGGGGUGGGAGGAACUUGAGUUCAGCGGCCACAUCGUCCCCUCCUGGGCCAGGGGUCCCCUAGUGGGAAUGCCAGGGGCCCAGCUGUCUUGGUAAACUGAGGCUCCUGGAAGGUUUGGACCACUGUCCUCCCCAUCCACCCACCCAAGGCCACCCCUGCCCAAGCACCACAGUCUCGGAGCCCGGGGGGGGGCUGUCAGCAAGGCCCCACUCUGGGCUUCUUUCUAGCCAAGAAAAAGGGCCUCUUUCUUCCCUUCCUUUCCUCCUUGUAGAGUAAUCGUCAGUGUCCCUAAUGCAGGCUUGAAGCAUCAGUGCCCACGUGACAGUGUGUUCUGCUUGUGGUUUCCUUGUGCACGUGUCGGCAUGAAAACACGUUUUGAGGGUAUUUUGGCGGCCGUAAGUGCCCCCAUGAGGCCAGGAGUGGACCUUGGGGAAACCAGCAUGUCUCAAGCACGUCACAGGGGAGUGAAGGAAACACAAGAAGGCAGGGCUGGGUGACUUGGAGUCUCCCUCCUCCCACAGCCUCCUCUCCCCUCCCCCUUUCUCUCCCAAGGUGUCCCCCAGCCCGAGAAUUAAGUGACUGGGUUGUGACCUCUGGCCCACGGGAUGGGGACACAAACCUCUGGGCCGGGCAGAAGGUGCUCUUUCUUCCUUUGAUGUCCCGGCCACUCUGUCCAGACGUCGCUGGGCCUCCAGGCAGCUCAUCCAUCUCGAGCUGCAGGCAGGCAGGAAAAGGCCAUCGGACCCCUGAUCCCAGCAUGAGUGACCAGAGGCAGUUUCCGGGACACGGUGAGGCCACCAAAGGUCGCUCGUCCUUCAAGAGCCUGUGCGGGGUCCUCUGAAAAGAAGCCAUAUGUCAAUACCCUGCCCCUUCCUUCUCUGUCUGCAGAGACCAUUGCCAAACAUUGUCAAGACCAGUUCCAGUUCUCAGAGCAAACUGUGCUUCUAGCAGAUUCUACCCCAACUGUGUUUGGAUGUCCAGUGGUUUUUAUUUCUGAUUUUUAAAAAAAAAUUCCAGGUGUGCCAUACCCACUUUCCUGCAGUGUUUUAAUAUUGUGUGGAAUUGUUAAUACCAAGUGAAUUAAUCCACAAUAAAAAGGCUCACUGUCCCUUUC